rnacentral:piRNA from 1 species
UNGGGUUUGUGAAACUUCUUACUGGUUACU